rnacentral:rRNA from 1 species
AUUGAACGCUGGCGGUAGGCCGAAGACAUGCAAGUCGAACGAGUGGCGGACGGGUGAGUAAGGUCUGGGAUACUGCCUUAUGGGAGGGGCUAACUACUUGAAGCCGUACCUAAUACCGGAUAACAUCGGGUGUCUCCAGCUGGGGUUUGCUGGUAGGUGGGGUAAAGGCUCCCCUAGGCGACGAUCCCUAGCGGGUCUGAGAGGAUGACCAGCCACACGGGACUUGAGACAAGUUCCAGACUCCGACGUGAGGCAGCAGUGGGGAAUAUUGCACAAUGGGCGAAAGCCGGAUGCAGCCAUGCAGCGUGGAUGAAGAGGGCCUGCGGGGUGUAAAGUACUUUCAGCGGGGAGGCGUUAACCGCAGAAGAAGCACCGGCUAACUCCGUGCCAGCAGCCGCGGUAAUUC